CCUACGGGGGGCAGCAGUAAGGAAUAUUGGUCAAUGGACGAAAGUCUGAACCAGCCAUGCCGCGUGGAGGAUGAAGGUCCUCUGGAUUGUAAACUUCUUUUAUAUGGGACGAAAAAGGGACUUUCUAGUUCAACUGCCGGUACCAUAUGAAUAAGCACCGGCUAACUCCGUGCCAGCAGCCGCGGUAAUACGGAGGGUGCAAGCGUUAUCCGGAUUAACUGGGUUGAAAGGGUGCUGGGAAGGGUUGGGAGAAAUCUCCGAGCUUAACUUGGAAACUGCCAUUGAUACUAUCAGUCUUGAAUACCGUGGAGGUCAGCGGAAUAUGUCAUGUAGCGGUGAAAUGCUUAGAUAUGACAUAGAACACCAAUUGCGAAGGCAGCUGGCUACACGAAUAUUGACACUGAGGCACGAAAGCGUGGGGAUCAAACAGGAUUAGAUACCCCUGUAGUC
rnacentral:rRNA from 1 species